CUUCCUUUCUCCUUUUCCAUUUGCCCAACCGCAAGGAUUUCUUACAGAAGAAAAUAUAUUACUGACUAGCCCUUUUAAUGCUUAUCUACCAUCAAGACACAAAACAAAAACAAAAUUGAGGCUGCUUCUUUGGCACAAGAAACAGGUGGAACAUUUCUUCUUUGUCUUUGUCUGACAUGAAAGAUUGCUGCAUCUCUGAACUUUAAGCCAUGUGUCCUUUGGAGUAUUGCCCCUUCCGCUGGUUCUCCACAAAUAUUGGCAGCUGGUCAACUUCUUUCCUUGACUUUGCCAAUGACAAUAUUCUGUGCUUCAGUAUUUCCUUUGUGUAUCUGUGUCUGACAUGAUUUUCCUUACAUACAGAGAGAAGUAUACAAUUUUCUGGUUUGAAUAGUGUAAGUUAAACAAAUUAUCCACAGACUUUACACAAAUGAAUUUUGUGACAUGUAAUAGUGAAAAGAUGUCCACAAAUGAAUUUAAAUAUAAAAUUUACUAUGAAAUGGGUUGAUACAUAUGUAAGCAUUACUUUUUCCCAGUCAUUUGAUUUUUGGUUCGGGGGAAAGAAGGCUGAGACUCUACCUCUCUAUUUAGACGUUUAUGUCACAAACACAUAUGCAUCACUAAUCACAAUGCAAAUCAUUUCAAAUGCUGAUCCUGUCCCAUUUGUCCUACUUUGUCUGUCCACACACAGUUUCCCUUCUCCAUUCAGUCGCCAGACACCAGCUCCUUCCCAAACAAGGAAAUAUAUACACAUCUGGAUGGACUUUUUUCCAUUCUCAUGAACAGGUUGCUUAUGAUUAAUAGUAGCAUCUGUCUGGGAAGAAAAAAAAAUUAUUUAGGCCUCUAAAAGACAGUUGUCCACAGUGACAUAAUUCUAGCUCCACUGUUAACAUGGCUAAGAUUUGCAAAGUAAUAAUGUGUUUUUGGGUCCCCUGAUAUUUUGUCACCAUAAUGUACCCAAUUUUUCAUCCUGCUUGGCUCACAUUUUCUGUAGUAUUUAGAAUAAGAAGUACAGUAUAGGUUCAAAGAC
ensembl:lncRNA